GCCAGGAUGUCCGAGUGGUUAAGGAGUCAGACUUGAAUACUGCAAUUUAUCUGAUGGGUUUACCCGCGUCGGUUCAAAUCCGGCUUCUGGCU